GAUGAAGAACGUAGCGAAAUGCGAUACUUGGUGUGAAUUGCAGAAUCCCGUGAACCAUCGAGUCUUUGAACGCAAGUUGCGCCUCAAGCCAUUAGGUUGAGGGCACGUCUGCCUGGGCGUCACAUAUCGUUGCCUGAUGCCAGUUUCCUCGUGAUGGGUGACUGUGCAGGGCGAAUGAUGGCUUCCCGUGAGCAUUGUUGCCUCAUGGUUGGUUGAAAAUUGAGUCCUUGGUAGGGAGCGCCGUGAUAGAUGGUGGUUGAGUGACGAACGAGACCCAAUCAUGUGAGACCCCUACCGAAUUUGGCCUUCAUGACCCACAUGCGUCUUUGGAACGCUCAUGACGAGACCUCAGGUCAGGCGGGGCUACCCGCUGAGUUUAAGCAUACCAAUAAGCGGAGGA
rnacentral:misc_RNA from 1 species